GUCAGGCGUGGUGGUGCACAUCUGUAAUCCCAGCUACUUGGGAGGCCAAGGCAGGAGGAUCACAAGUUGGAGGACAGCCUCAACAACUUAAUGAGACCCUGGCUCAA
rnacentral:sRNA from 1 species